rfam:Rattus norvegicus chromosome 17, whole genome shotgun sequence.
GGGGAUUUGGCUCAGUGGUAGAGCGCUUGACUAGGAAGCGCAAGGUCCUGGGUUCGGUCCCCAGCCCCA